GGUUAAUACGUAGUUUGUAUUUGAAUAGUUAGAUUAACGUGUUAGUAAUCCAAUUGAAGGCGGUUCGUGUGUGGAUCUCGUCAGCAUAUCGUCGCAAACAGGAAAUCCCCAACCAUAGUGGGCUUGGAGCUGUGAGGGAAUUCGGAGUGGCCACCCGUUCUGAAAGUUUGAUUUUCUUCUGGUGAACUGGACAUCCUUUUAUUUACGUUUGAAGUUUUGGGUUUUUAAAUGUAAUAAGGCCGCUUAAUUAUUUUUUAUGGUUUUAAUAUGUAUUACUAAGAUAGGUAUUACUUA